GAUGAAGAACGCAGCGAAAUGCGAUAAGUAGUGUGAAUUGCAGAAUUCAGUGAAUCAUCGAAUCUUUGAACGCACAUUGCGCCCCUUGGUAUUCCAUGGGGCAUGCCUGUUCGAGCGUCAUUAAGUCCACUUAAGCCCUGCUUAGUGUUGGGAGACUGCUCCAGCGGUGCUACCCUGUAGCUACCCUGCAGCUCCUCAAAGACAGCGGCGGAGUUGUGGUAUCCUCUGAGCUUAGUAACUUGUUCUAGCUUUCGAGUACACCACUUCCCCUGCCGUAAAACCCUUAAUUUUUAAUGGUUGACCUCGGAUCAGGUAGGAAUACCCGCUGAACUUAAGCAUAUCAAUAAGCGGAGGA
rnacentral:misc_RNA from 1 species